GCCCCCGUAGAUCAGCGGUAGAUCAUCUUCUCACUCUGUUGAAUCUAUACUUCGAAUUAUGAAGAUGUCGUAGAUUCGAAUCCUACCGAGGGCA